rnacentral:antisense_RNA from 17 species
CUCAAUGGCGGCUGUGCGUGUGGGCACGUUCGCGUGCGCCGGUCUUUCUUUCUUUCCACCGGUCUGUCAACCCGCGCAUAGCUGCCACCCAA